UAACUGAACGGGGAAUAAC
rnacentral:piRNA from 1 species